rnacentral:rRNA from 1 species
GAGGAAAGAAACUAACAAGGAUUCCCCUAGUAACUGCGAGUGAAGCGGGAAAAGCUCAAAUUUAAAAUCCUUCGGGAGUUGUAAUCUAUAGAAGUGUUUUCGGUCGUUGCCUCGGACAAGUCUCUUGGAACAGAGCGUCAUAGAGGGUGAGAAUCCCGUCCUUGCCGAGCUCCCAACGUCUAUGUGAUACACUUUCAAAGAGUCGAGUUGUUUGGGAUUGCAGCUCAAAACGGGUGGUAAACUCCAUCUAAAGCUAAAUAUUGGCGAGAGACCGAUAGCGAACAAGUACCGUGAGGGAAAGAUGAAAAGCACUUUGGAAAGAGAGUUAAACAGUACGUGAAAUUGUUGAAAGGGAAGCGCUUGGAGUCAGUCACGUUGCAAGGACUCAGCCUCACGGUGUAUUUCUUUGCAACGGGUCAACAUCAAUUUUGACCGCGGGAAAAGGGUUUGAGGAAUGUGGCAACUUCGGUUGUGUUAUAGCCUCUUGCCGUACACCGCGGUUGGGAUUGAGGUCUGCUUACAGGAUGUUGACGAAAUGGCUCUAAGCGACCCG